rnacentral:rRNA from 1 species
UAGGUGGCGAGCGUUGUCCGGAUUUACUGGGCGUAAAGGGAGCGUAGGCGGACUUUUAAGUGAGAUGUGAAAUACCCGGGCUCAACUUGGGUGCUGCAUUUCAAACUGGAAGUCUAGAGUGCAGGAGAGGAGAAUGGAAUUCCUAGUGUAGCGGUGAAAUGCGUAGAGAUUAGGAAGAACACCAGUGGCGAAGGCGAUUCUCUGGACUGUAACUGACGCUGAGGCUCGAAAGCGUGGGGAGC